UUCCGAGUGUGGAAUUAGGUCACGAUUUCGACAAGGAUUCGAUUCGUUUUCGAUAGCUUCGAGAAUACCAAGAAUCGUUCACGAUUUUUUAAUGAAUCGAAGAAAAAAUUUGAUGUCGAAACCUUUCGAAUACAGACCUCAUAAUAGAAGUGCUCCUUAUCAUUAUGGGCUAAAACAAAAGUGAAAGUGGAAAUUUACAUCACAUGCCAGUACUGGUACUUCAAAAAAAUUCGCGUGGAAAAUAUUCAUUUAUUUCUUAAGUUAUCAGUUAUAACGAGAGAACCACUCCCAUGGUACUUAAAACUGGAGAAAGCCUGGUUUUCCUGUUUAUCGUGCAUGUAUUGCCAGUAGAGUAUGUACAUUCUUAUGAAACUUUUCAGUUUGGAGAAUCAUGUGAUAACAACAUAAGAUUGGUUGGCAGUUACAGAGCAAUAAAUUACUCACAUUAUGCCUACACCCUCGAAGGUCAGACACAUGUUUGUGAGAUGUGCUUCCCAGGUUACAGAGUCCAGAACCAUUGCACAAAUUUUUCUCGUCACCUUGGUUCAGAUUGUAGGGUUUGCCAAGAAGGAACUUACAGUAACUGGACAUGGGAGUGCCAGUGUAAAAAUUGCACAGAUAGGCCUUCAGAACAGCACAUCCUUUUCUCAAAGUGCAAUUUAACACAGGAUGCAGUA